rnacentral:rRNA from 1 species
GACGAACGCUGGCGGCGUGCUUAACACAUGCAAGUCGAACGGAAAGGCCCUGCUUGCCGGGUGCUCGAGUGGCGAACGGGUGAGUAACACGUGGGUGAUCUGCCCCUUACUUUGGGAUAAGCCUGGGAAACUGGGUCUAAUACUGGAUAGGACCAUGCUGUAGGCGGUGUGGUGGAAAGAUUAGUUUCGGUAAGGGAUGAGCUCGCGGCCUAUCAGCUUGUUGGUGGGGUAAUGGCCUACCAAGGCGUCGCCGGGUAGCCGGCCUGAGAGGGUGGACGGCCACAUUGGGACUGAGAUACGGCCCAGACUCCUACGGGAGGCAGCAGUGGGGAAUAUUGCACAAUGGGCGCAAGCCUGAUGCAGCGACGCCGCGUGGGGGAUGACGGCCUUCGGGUUGUAAACUCCUUUCAGCCAUGACGAAGCCCUUGUGGUGACGGUAGUGGUAGAAGAAGCACCGGCUAACUACGUG